GACGAACGCUGGCGGCGUGCUUAACACAUGCAAGUCGAACGGAAAGGCCCCUUUGGGGGUACUCGAGUGGCGCACGGGUGAGUAACACGUGCGUAACCUGCCCUUGACUUCGGUAUAACUUCAUGAAACUGGGGCUAAUACCGGUUAGGAAUCCUUUCUUCAUGGUUGGGGUUGGAAAGCUUCGGCGGUUUUGGAUGGACUCGCGGCUUAUCAGCUUGUUGGUGGGGUAGUGGCUUACCAAGGCUUUGACGGGUAGCCGGCCUGAGAGGGCGACCGGCCACAUUGGGACUGAGAUACGGCCCAGACUCCUACGGGAGGCAGCAGUGGGGAAUAUUGCACAAUGGGCGGAAGCCUGAUGCAGCAAAGCCGCGGGCGGGAUGACGGCCUUCGGGUUGUAAACCGCAUUCAGCAGGGGAGAAGCUUGUGGUGACGGUACCUGAAGAAGAAGCACCGGCUAACUACGUG
rnacentral:rRNA from 1 species